rnacentral:lncRNA from 1 species
AUGCAUAUGAGAAACAACAGUGCAGAAAGGAGAAGCAAAAAAGGAGAAGCUGAGGCAGAAGAGGCAACACGAUCAGCAGGGACUGAACAAGGGGGAGGCAGAGGUGGGGACAGAAUGCGUAAGAGAAACAACAGUUGCAGAAAGGAGAAGCAUAGGAAAAGGGAGAAGCCGAGGCAGAAGAGGCAACACGAUCAACAGGGACUGGACAAGGGGGAAGCAGAGGUGGGGACAGAAUGUGUAACAAAAACAACCGCUGCAGAAAGGAGAAGCAUAGGAAAAGGGAGAAGCCGAGGCAGAAGAGGCAACACGAUCAACAGGGACUGGACAAGGGGGAAGUUGGAAGUGGGGACAGAAUGCGUAAGAGAAACAACCGCUGCAGAAAGGAGAAGCAAAAAAGGAGAAGCUGAGGCAGAAGAGGCAACACGAUCAGCAGGGACUGAACAAGGGGGAAGCAGGAAGGUGGGGAUAGAAUGUGUAAGAGAAACAACCGCUGCAGAAAGGAGAAGCAUAGGAAAAGGGAGAAGCCGAGGCAGAAGAGGCAACACGAUCAACAGGGACUGGACAAGGGGGAAGUUGGAAGUGGGGACAGAAUGCGUAAGAGAAACAACCGCUGCAGAAAGGAGAAGCAAAAAAGGAGAAGCUGAGGCAGAAGAGGCAACACGAUCAGCAGGGACUGAACAAGGGGGAAGCAGAGGUGGGGACAGAAUGUGUAAGAGAAACAACCGCUGCAGAAAGGAGAAGCAUAGGAAAAGGGAGAAGCCGAGGCAGAAGAGGCAACACGAUCAACAGGGACUGGACAAGGGGGAAGUUGGAAGUGGGGACAGAAUGCGUAAGAGAAACAACCGCUGCAGAAAGGAGAAGUAUAGGAAAAGGGAGAAGCCGAGGCAGAAGAGGCAACACGAUCAACAGGGACUGGACGAGGGGGAAGUUGGAAGUGGGGACAGAAGGAGUAAGAGAAACAACCGCUGCAGAAAGGAGAAGCAUAGGAAAAGGGAGAAGCCGAGGCAGAAGAGGCAACACGAUCAACAGGGACUGGACAAGGGGGAAGUUGGAAGUGGGGACAGAAGGAGUAAGAGAAACAACCGCUGCAGAAAGGAGAAGCAUAGGAAAAGGGAGAAGCCGAGGCAGAAGAGGCAACACGAUCAGCAGGGACUGGACGAGGGGGAAGUUGGAAGUGGGGACAGAAGGAGUAAGAGAAACAACCGCUGCAGAAAGGAGAAGCAUAGGAAAAGGGAGAAGCCGAGGCAGAAGAGGCAACACGAUCAACAGGGACUGGACGAGGGGGAAGUUGGAAGUGGGGACAGAAGGAGUAAGAGAAACAACCGCUGCAGAAAGGAGAAGCAUAGGAAAAGGGAGAAGCCGAGGCAGAAGAGGCAACACGAUCAGCAGGGACUGAACAAGGGGGAAGCAGAGGUGGGGACAGAAUGCGUAAGAGAAACAACAGCUGCAGAAAGGAGAAGCAUAGGAAAAGGGAGAAGCCGAGGCAGAAGAGGCAACACGAUCAGCAGGGACUGA